rfam:Myotis davidii contig322734, whole genome shotgun sequence.
AGUGUGUCCUUUCCCUGCUGCCUUAGCUCCGGGUAAAUAUUGAUUUGCCCCCAGUUUACCUCCUCUCUGACUGUCCAGUUGCAGACUAAAACACCGGCCUCUGUAGGGACCUGAUUUUUGUGUGACUUUCCGGGGCCUGUUUCCCCCUUCCUUCCUCCAAGCGGCAUAGUAAAACUCGAGGUGACAAAGAGGCAGGGUAGGGUUCAAGGCCCCAGUUCCUGACGACUUGAGGGCUAUUUUACAUACGGGUCAGACAGGGCUGGAGGCCAAGGUCAAGUUGAACAUUGCAGUCUAGCCAAUCUGAGAACUGCCAUGCAAGCCUGGAAACCCAGGCAGCUGUGAAAGGCCCACCGCCCAUCUCCCCUCA